rnacentral:rRNA from 1 species
AUUGAACGCUGGCGGCAGGCCUAACACAUGCAAGUCGAACGGUAACAGGAAGCAGCUUGCUGCUUCGCUGACGAGUGGCGGACGGGUGAGUAAUGUCUGGGAAACUGCCUGAUGGAGGGGGAUAACUACUGGAAACGGUAGCUAAUACCGCAUAAUGUCGCAAGACCAAAGAGGGGGACCUUCGGGCCUCUUGCCAUCGGAUGUGCCCAGAUGGGAUUAGCUAGUAGGUGGGGUAACGGCUCACCUAGGCGACGAUCCCUAGCUGGUCUGAGGGGAUGACCAGCCACACUGGAACUGAGACACGGUCCAGACUCCUACGGAAGGCAGCAGUGGGGAAUAUUGCACAAUGGGCGCAAGCCUGAUGCAGCCAUGCCGCGUGUAUGAAGAAGGCCUUCGGGUUGUAAAGUACUUUCAGCGGGGAGGAAGGUGUUGAGGUUAAUAACCUCAGCAAUUGACGUUACCCGCAGAAGAAGCACCGGCUAACUCCGUGCCAGCAGCCGCGGUAAUACGGAGGGUGCAAGCGUUAAUCGGAAUUACUGGGCGUAAAGCGCACGCAGGCGGUCUGUCAAGUCGGAUGUGAAAUCCCCGGGCUCAACCUGGGAACUGCAUUCGAAACUGGCAGGCUAGAGUCUUGUAGAGGGGGGUAGAAUUCCAGGUGUAGCGGUGAAAUGCAUAGAUAUCACGAGGAACUCCGAUUGCGCAGGCAGCUUACUAAACCAUAACUGACGCUCAGGCACGAAGGCGUGGGGAUCAAACA